rnacentral:rRNA from 1 species
UACGUAGGGGGCAAGCGUUGUCCGGAAUCAUUGGGCGUAAAGCGCGUGUAGGCGGCCCGAUAAGUCCGCUGUGAAAGUCCAGGGCUCAACCCUGGGAUGCCGGUGGAUACUGUCGGGCUCGAGUCCGGAAGAGGCGAGUGGAAUUCCUGGUGUAGCGGUGAAAUGACGCAGAUAUCAGGAGGAACACCAAUGGCGAAGGCAGCUCGCUGGGACGUGACUGACGCUGAGACGCGAAAGCGUGGGGAGCGAACAGG